UACGAAGGGGGCUAGCGUUGCUCGGAAUCACUGGGCGUAAAGCGCACGUAGGCGGAUCUUUAAGUCAGGGGUGAAAUCCUGGAGCUCAACUCCAGAACUGCCUUUGAUACUGGGGAUCUCGAGUCCGGGAGAGGUGAGUGGAACUGCGAGUGUAGAGGUGAAAUUCGUAGAUAUUCGCAAGAACACCAGUGGCGAAGGCGGCUCACUGGCCCGGUACCGACGCUGAGGUGCGAAAGCGUGGGGAGCAAACAGG
rnacentral:rRNA from 1 species